ACCCGCUGAACUUAAGCAUAUCAAUAAGCGGAGGAAAAGAAACCAACAGGGAUUGCCUUAGUAACGGCGAGUGAAGCGGCAAAAGCUCAAAUUUGAAAUCGGCCCCCAGGUCGAGUUGUAAUUUGUAGAUUGUAUCUUGAGAGCGGAUUAAAGUCUGUUGGAACACAGCGCCUUAGAGGGUGACAGCCCCGUAAAAUCUAUUCUCAUUGUAAGAUACUUUCGAAGAGUCGAGUUGUUUGGGAAUGCAGCUCUAAGUGGGAGGUAAAUUCCUUCUAAAGCUAAAUAUUGACGAGAGACCGAUAGCGAACAAGUACUGUGAAGGAAAGAUGAAAAGCACUUUGAAAAGAGAGUGAAAAAGUACGUGAAAUUGUUAAAAGGGAAGGGUAUUGAAUCAGACUUGGUGCUGUUGUUCAGCUGUGUUUUGGCACAGUGUACUCAGCAGUACUAGGCCAAGGUGGGGUGUUUGGGAGUGAAAAAGAAGUUGGAACGUAACUCUUCGGAGUGUUAUAGCCUACUUUCAUAGCUCCUCAGGCGCCUCAGGACUGCGCUUCGGCAAGGACCUUGGCAUAAUGAUUCUAUACCGCCCGUCUUGAAACACGGACCAAGGAG
rnacentral:rRNA from 1 species